GUGAAGAUGCAGGUUACCCGCGACAGGACGGAAAGACCCCAUGGCGCUUUACUGUAGUUUGAUAUUGAGUGUUUGUACCACAUGUACAGGAUAGGUAGGAGCCGAUGAGACCGGACCGCUAGUUUCGGAGGAGGCGCUGGUGGGAUACUACCCUUGUGUUAUGACCCCUCUAACCCGCACCCCUAAUCGUGGUGGGAGACAGUGUCAGAUGGGCAGUUUGACUGGGGCGGUCGACUCCUAAAAG
rnacentral:rRNA from 1 species